rnacentral:lncRNA from 1 species
GUCCAUGGGACUCCCCCGGGGCUUGGGAUUUCUUGGGAAGAAGCCAUACUCAGAUGCCCUGACCUUCCGGGAAACCCUCGGUGAGAGGCCCACAGCCUCGCUUCUAGGGUCACCACUGCUUCUUCCAGUCUAGCCAAACAGCUCCUAGUACAGCUCAGAGCACCCUGCAAGGAGGGCACGUGUUAAAUCGAGGAGCACACAUGCUCCACGAGGAAUUCUUUGCUUUGAGGCCAUGCACAGAGGUGGGUUCACUAUGAAGCUUGUGAAAUAAGCUUCAGGGCCCGCAUUUGCAUGGGCCACAGAGAGUCUGGGAGCUGCAGAAGGUUCAAGGGAAGAGGAGCCAUCACAAGCAGAAUAUUCUAGAAGGCAUUUCUGGCAAAUGGCCCAAAGAGGCCUCAGGAGAAAAGAACUUGAGUCUUCAAGGAUGCAAUGAGAAGGCACCAUCUGUGAGGAACAGGCCUCCGACAGACACCGAAUUUGCUGGCACUUUGAUCUUGGACUUCCCAGCCUCCAAAAUUAUCCAUAAUGGAUUCCUGGGACAUUUUCAGAUCUCCUUCCAGCUUCCUCUUCGCCCUUUCCAAGUCCGCCCGCAGUUUCUUCUCCUGCUCUAAGGAACCCUCAAGCUGAGAAGACACACAGAUGGAGUCUCGCUGCGAUGCCCAGGCUGGAGUGCAAUGGUGCAAUCUUGGCUCACUGCAACCUUCGUUUCCCAGGUUUAAGCAAUUCUCCUGCCUCAGCCUCCCAAGUAUCUGGGACUACAGGCGAGCGUCACCAUGCCUGGCUAAUUUUUGUAUUUUUAGUAGAGAUGUUUAGUAGAGAGUUUCACCAUAUUGGCCAGGCUGGUCUUGAACUCCUGACCUCAAGGGAUCCGCCCACCUUGGCCUCUCAAAGUGCUGGGAUUACAGGCGUGAGCCACCGUGCCUGGCAAUGUUUGUAGUUUCUUUCAUGAAUUUACCUCCUUUUAUUCUUUAAUCCCUGCUUAUCUCUAAAGAGUAAGUAACUGAAAGUAAUAAAACGGAAUUUUCUCAACAAUAUUUUAUAAGUUGAUUUCUUUUUCUUUCCUACAGGAAACAACCCAAUUUGCCAUCUUAAUUUGGAGUCUACUUUUUCUGAAUGACUCAGUUUUCUCUGAUACUUAAUCAAGAUGCAGCCUUGGGGGAAAAUGUCAUGUCCCAGUCUCCCCCAUGUUCCUUUCCCUUCAUCCCACUUUGUCCCCGGGGUCUAGCAUGACUGUGUGUUUGGAUUGGGGAAGUGAAGGCAGGAAAGUCGCUUCCCCAAAUCCGCAUCCACACAGGGUCUUAUGUUAGAGUUGAUGUUAUCUCUAGGCGAGGUUAUGCAAUGUAGUUACAGAGACAUUGUGAUUAGAUUCAAAGAAAAUGAUUUUCAUCAUUGAAGUUUACGCAUGUGCCCAUUUCCUAUUUAUUACAUUCCCUGGCCCAGAGGACAUUAGGCUUUCAUUUUUAAAAAAUGAUCUCAUUAUCUAAUGAAUAAUUAUAUUUCAUAUAUUUUAUUAAUUUAUUAAAUGUAUGCAUUUAAAAUGGCAUAUAAUGUUAAAACUCUAUGUUGGCUACUAUUUAAAAGUAUAUUUACUGGUAAUCU